GUAAGCUACUAAGAGCGAAUGGUGGAUGCCUUGACUGGUAAAGGCGAUGAAGGACGUACUAGACUGCGAUAAGCUACGGGGAGCUGUCAAGAAGCUUUGAUCCGUAGAUUUCCGAAUGGGGCAACCCAAUGUAUAGAGAUAUACAUUACCUAUAUAGGAGCGAACGAGGGGAAUUGAAACAUCUUAGUACCCUCAGGAAAAGAAAUCAAUAGAGAUUGCGUCAGUAGCGGCGAGCGAAAGCGCAAGAGGGCAAACCCAGUGCUUGCACUGGGGGUUGUAGGACUGCAAUGUGCAAGAGGUGAGUUUAGCAGAACAUUCUGGAAAGUAUAGCCAUAGAGGGUGAUAGUCCCGUAUGCGAAAAACAAACUUUAGCUAGCAGUAUCCUGAGUAGGGCGGGACACGAGGAAUCCUGUCUGAAUCCGGGUCGACCACGAUCCAACCCUAAAUACUAAUACCAGAUCGAUAGUGCACAAGUACCGUGAGGGAAAGGUGAAAAGAACUGAGGUGAUCAGAGUGAAAUAGAACCUGAAACCAUUUGCUUACAAUCAUUCAGAGCACUAUGUAGCAAUACAGUGUGAUGGACUGCCUUUUGCAUAAUGAGCCUGCGAGUUGUGGUGUCUGGCAAGGUUAAGCAAACGCGAAGCCGUAGCGAAAGCGAGUCUGAAUAGGGCGCUUAGUCAGAUGCUGCAGACCCGAAACGAAGUGAUCUAUCCAUGAGCAAGUUGAAGCUAGUGUAAGAACUAGUGGAGGACUGAACCCAUAGGCGUUGAAAAGCCCCGGGAUGACUUGUGGAUAGGGGUGAAAGGCCAAUCAAACUUCGUGAUAGCUGGUUCUCUCCGAAAUAUAUUUAGGUAUAGCGUUGUGUCGUAAUAUAAGGGGGUAGAGCACUGAAUGGGCUAGGGCAUACACCAAUGUACCAAACCCUAUCAAACUCCGAAUACCUUAUAUGUAAUCACAGCAGUCAGGCGGCGAGUGAUAAAAUCCGUCGUCAAGAGGGAAACAACCCAGACUACCAGCUAAGGUCCCUAAAUCUUACUUAAGUGGAAAACGAUGUGAAGUUACUUAAACAACCAGGAGGUUGGCUUAGAAGCAGCCAUCCUUUAAAGAAAGCGUAAUAGCUCACUGGUCUAGUGAUUUUGCGCGGAAAAUAUAACGGGGCUAAAGUAAGUACCGAAGCUGUAGACUUGACUUUGUCAAGUGGUAGGAGAGCGUUCUAUUUGCGUCGAAGGUAUACCGGUAAGGAGUGCUGGAGCGAAUAGAAGUGAGCAUGCAGGCAUGAGUAGCGAUAAUUAAUGUGAGAAUCAUUAACGCCGUAAACCCAAGGUUUCCUACGCGAUGCUCGUCAUCGUAGGGUUAGUCGGGUCCUAAGUCGAGUCCGAAAGGGGUAGACGAUGGCAAAUUGGUUAAUAUUCCAAUACCAACAUUAGUGUGCGAUGGAAGGACGCUUAGGGCUAAGGGGGCUAGCGGAUGGAAGUGCUAGUCUAAGGUCGUAGGAGGUUAUACAGGCAAAUCCGUAUAACAUACUCCGAGAACUGAAAGGCUUUUUGAAGUCUUCGGAUGGAUAGAAGAACCCCUGAUGCCGUCGAGCCAAGAAAAGUUUCUAAGUUUAGCUAAUGUUGCCCGUACCGUAAACCGACACAGGUGGGUGGGAUGAGUAUUCUAAGGCGCGUGGAAGAACUCUCUUUAAGGAACUCUGCAAAAUAGCACCGUAUCUUCGGUAUAAGGUGUGGUUAGCUUCGUACUAGGAUUUACUCCGAAAGCGAAGAAACUUACAACAAAGAGUCCCUCCCGACUGUUUACCAAAAACACAGCACUCUGCUAACUCGUAAGAGGAUGUAUAGGGUGUGACGCCUGCCCGGUGCUCGAAGGUUAAUUGAUGGGGUUAGCAUUAGCGAAGCUCUUGAUCGAAGCCCGAGUAAACGGCGGCCGUAACUAUAACGGUCCUAAGGUAGCGAAAUUCCUUGUCGGUUAAAUACCGACCUGCAUGAAUGGCGUAACGAGAUGGGAGCUGUCUCAAAGAGGGAUCCAGUGAAAUUGUAGUGGAGGUGAAAAUUCCUCCUACCCGCGGCAAGACGGAAAGACCCCGUGGACCUUUACUACAGCUUGACACUGCUAUUUGGAUAAGAAUGUGCAGGAUAGGUGGGAGGCUUUGAGUAUAUGACGCUAGUUGUAUAGGAGCCAUUGUUGAGAUACCACUCUUUCUUAUUUGGGUAGCUAACCAGCUUGAGUUAUCCUCAAGUGGGACAAUGUCUGGUGGGUAGUUUGACUGGGGCGGUCGCCUCCCAAAUAAUAACGGAGGCUUACAAAGGUUGGCUCAGAACGGUUGGAAAUCGUUCGUAGAGUAUAAAGGUAUAAGCCAGCUUAACUGCAAGACAUACAAGUCAAGCAGAGACGAAAGUCGGUCUUAGUGAUCCGGUGGUUCUGUGUGGAAGGGCCAUCGCUCAAAGGAUAAAAGGUACCCCGGGGAUAACAGGCUGAUCUCCCCCAAGAGCUCACAUCGACGGGGAGGUUUGGCACCUCGAUGUCGGCUCAUCGCAUCCUGGGGCUGGAGCAGGUCCCAAGGGUAUGGCUGUUCGCCAUUUAAAGCGGUACGCGAGCUGGGUUCAGAACGUCGUGAGACAGUUCGGUCCCUAUCUGCCGUGGGCGUAAGAAGAUUGAAGAGAUUUGACCCUAGUACGAGAGGACCGGGUUGAACAAACCACUGGUGUAGCUGUUGUUCUGCCAAGAGCAUCGCAGCGUAGCUAAGUUUGGAAAGGAUAAACGCUGAAAGCAUCUAAGCGUGAAGCCAACUCUAAGAUGAAUCUUCUCUAAGCUCUCUAGAAGACUACUAGUUUGAUAGGCUGGGUGUGUAAUGGAUGAAAGUCUUUUAGCUGACCAGUACUAAUAGAGCGUUUGGCUUAUCUUUA
rnacentral:rRNA from 1 species